rnacentral:lncRNA from 1 species
GCCACCCUUAGGAUUCAGUGCUUUCUUUGAACCCUUAAAACCUGACUUCUUCUUAGAGGUUUUACCCACAAGACGAAGUAGAGCUUUUUCUUUCUUAAUAUGGCUCUCAGUUGUCUUAAGCAUAUUUAACAACUCAGGCAAGGAGGUAUUCAGUUUGUUCAUAUGAUAGUUCACAACAAACUGAGCAAAUGACUCAGGGAGAGAUUGCAGGAUCAAAUUCUGACUUAAUUCUCCAUCCAUCACAAAACCAAGUUGACCCA